GAUUUCAACUGAAAAAGUCAUCGACAACAAAGUUGUAUAACUCAUCAAGAUCUAUAACUUUUAUUUUGGUCAUUUCUUCAUCCAACAAAGUGAUAGUAAUAUUGUUAACAAAAUCUACAUCUAUCUUAUUUGGUUCUAUAAACUAUAAGAGAGAUAUGUAAACUUUGUGAACAAUAUUACUAUCACUUUAUUAGAUAAAGAAAUGACCAAAAUAAAAGUUGUAUGUGUUGAUGAGCUCUACAACUUUUAUGUUCAUGACUUUUUCAGCUGAAAAU
rnacentral:pre_miRNA from 1 species